rnacentral:rRNA from 1 species
GACGAACGCUGGCGGCGUGCUUAACACAUGCAAGUCGAACGGAAAGGCCCUGCUUUUGUGGGGUGCUCGAGUGGCGAACGGGUGAGUAACACGUGAGUAACCUGCCCUUGACUUUGGGAUAACUUCAGGAAACUGGGGCUAAUACCGGAUAGGAGCUCCUGCUGCAUGGUGGGGGUUGGAAAGUUUCGGCGGUUGGGGAUGGACUCGCGGCUUAUCAGCUUGUUGGUGGGGUAGUGGCUUACCAAGGCUUUGACGGGUAGCCGGCCUGAGAGGGUGACCGGCCACAUUGGGACUGAGAUACGGCCCAGACUCCUACGGGAGGCAGCAGUGGGGAAUAUUGCACAAUGGGCGGAAGCCUGAUGCAGCAACACCGCGUGCGGGAUGACGGCCUUCGGGUGGUAAACCGCUUUCGCCUGUGACGAAGCGUGAGUGACGGUAAUGGGUAAAGAAGCACCGGCUAACUACGU